UUUUUUAAAUAACUUUGUAAAUUAUAUUUAUUUAUCUUCUAUAUCUUUAAUAUUCUAUAAAUAAAAAAAUUUAAUAAUUUAUUAUUUAUGUAAUUAUGCUGUUGUCAAUCGUUUGACCGAUCGAACUAUCGAUUAAACUAAGUGAACCGCGAUCUAGUAUGUUUUUCGGUUGGCAACUAGUGCCGAAUUGUGACGCCCCAACUUUCCAGGGGGUCACCCAUUCUAGGACUACUUCCGUCCUAGCACGCUUAACUCUCUUAACCUCUUAGGCCUUGCCAUCACCCAAAAUGCUUAAACCGGGUUAAGAGUUUAGCCCUAUUAUAUUUCAUAUAUAGGACUAUCUGGGGUUCUCACAAUCUCCCAUCCUUUAAGCCCUGACGUCCUCGUCAGGCACAGACUCACAAGUACCAGGCGAUGUGAGACUCAUCUCGCUAGCCCGUCAUCCAGACCCUGGCUCAGCCGAGACUCAUCUCACACUUCCGGCUGGUAAUUGGCUCUGAUACCAACUGAGCUACUCCAACUUUACAGUUAUAUUGAACCUUGCACCUGCAUCUAUAUCUGCAUUCCUUUACUCAGUUAUUUUCAUAUCGAUAUUAUGCUUAGAAGUAGAGUUGACUUAUCUGUUCACUAUAUCUGUGAUUUAAUCCAGCCCACUAGUAACAAUAACUCGUUGGGCCGGUUCGUUACACGAAUUUUAAACCGUUGGUUGUAAAAUAAAAUAGAAUAUUAUAUAUAUUUUAAUAUAAUAUAAAAUAUUAUUUAUUAUUUAUUAAAUGAAUGACACGAAUCUCAAAGUCGUAUAAAUCGUUCGCUACCACCACCAUUUUUUUUUUUU
rnacentral:lncRNA from 1 species